CUCUGGACUGGUGCUGCAGUAACCCAUAGCAGCCAGCAGAUGGCGCCCUUAGCACAGUCAAGCGAAGAAUCCUUCCUGCUCCGUGUGUGAAUUGUGGCAAACACCGAGCGUGCAGAAACAGCGCUGAGAAUUCUUUAACCAUCAAGUAUCGAUCACUGGCCCCUUUCAGUACACGUAUAUGAGAAUGUCUACGUGUCAGCAUUUUGCUUAACUGGAAAUAUAUUCUCAGUAUGGAAGGAAAUUGCCGUAUUAUGCUCAGGAAUGGCAUAUGGAAGCAGGGCCUUGCCAGGAUGCCUUUGCAGCUGUAUCAACUGACCAUAUCUUUUCCUAGCUCAGCUUAAUACCCCCAGAGUGACCAUAUGCUUCUACAUGUUCUGAUUGUGAGGUUAUUAGAAGAGGUGCAGAGGUGGUUUCUAGCAAGGAUACAUGACCAAGUGGCAAGCCUGAGAUAUUGCUCAAAUACCAGGAGACAGGAAGCAGAGAUGAAAAGAAAACAUGUAUUCAAGGGAUGUGGAAAGGACAGUGAUAAAUGUUUUUGAUCUGGUUACUCUUCUGAAUUCUAAAAUAAACAAAGAAAAAAGCCACACAGGGGGUGGUGACACACUGAACAGGUUGCCCAAGGAGGUUGUGGAUGCCCCAUCCCUGGAGGCAUUCGAGGCUAGGCUGGAUGUGGCUCUGGGCAGCCCGGUCUAGUGCUUGGCAACCCUGCACGUAGCAGGGGGGUUGAAACUCGAUGAUCAUUGUGGUCCUUUUCAACCCAGGCCAUUCUAUCAUUCUAUGAUAUGAUUCUAUGAUUCUCUCCAAAAAUAAGACAUUUUCUAUGCAAAAAACAAUUUUUUCUCCGAGGAA
ensembl:lncRNA